rnacentral:tmRNA from 1 species
GGGGCUGAACGGUUUCGACUUCGCGCAUCGAAUCAAGGGAAGCGUGCCGGUGCAGGCAAAUGACCACCGUAAGCGUCGUUGCAACCAAUUAAGCGCCGAUUCCAAUCAGCGCGACUACGCCCUCGCUGCCUAAGUAGCGACUGCGUGUCUGUCAGACCGGGAGCGCCCUCGGCCCGGACCCUGGCAUCAGCUAGAGGGACCCACCCACGGGUUCGGUCGCGGAACCCGUGGGGACAUCAAACAGCGACUGGGAUCGUCAUCUCGGCUUGUCCACGUGACCGGGAGAUCCAAGUAGAGACAUAGCGGACUGCGCACGGAGAAGCCUUGAGGGAAUGCCGUAGGACCCGGGUUCGAUUCCCGGCAGCUCCACAA